AAAAGGGAAGCGCUUGUGACCAGACUUGCGUCCGGUGAAUCACCCAGCUCUCGCGGCUGGGGCACUUCGCCGGCACAGGCCAGCAUCAGCUUGCCGUCGGGGACAAAAGCUUCAGGAACGUGGCUCCUCUCGGGGAGUGUUAUAGCCUGUUGCAUAAUACCCUUCGGCGGGCUGAGGUACGCGCUCCGCAAGGAUGCUGGCGUAAU
rnacentral:rRNA from 1 species